AUUGAACGCUGGCGGCAGGCCUAACACAUGCAAGUCGAACGAGUGGCGGACGGGUGAGUCAUGUCUGGGAACCUGCCUUAUGGCGGGGGAUACCUACUGGAACCGGUAGCUAAUACCGCAUACCAUCAGAUGUUCCCAGAUGGGAUUAGCUGGUUGGGGGGGUAACGGCUCACCAAGGAGACGAUCCCUAGCUGGUCUUAGAGGAGGAACAGCCACACUGGAACUGAGACACGGUCCAGACUCCUACGGGAGGCAGCAGUGGGGAAUAUUGCACAAUGGGCUCAAGCCUGAUGCAGCCAUGCCGCGUGAAUGAAGAAGGCCUUCGGGUUGUAAAGUACUGUCAGCGGGGAAGCGUUACCCGAAGAAGAAGCACCGGCUAACUCCGUGCCAGCAGCCGCGGUAAUUC
rnacentral:rRNA from 1 species